AGUCGAACGAUGAAGCCCAGCUUGCUGGGUGGAUUAGUGGCGAACGGGUGAGUAACACGUGAGUAACCUGCCCUUGACUCUGGGAUAAGCACUGGAAACGGUGUCUAAUACCGGAUAUAUCAGCUGGCCGCAUGGUCUGGUUGUGGAAAGAAUUUUGGUCAAGGAUGGACUCGCGGCCUAUCAGGUAGUUGGUGAGGUAAUGGCUCACCAAGCCUACGACGGGUAGCCGGCCUGAGAGGGUGACCGGCCACACUGGGACUGAGACACGGCCCAGACUCCUACGGGAGGCAGCAGUGGGGAAUAUUGCACAAUGGGCGAAAGCCUGAUGCAGCAACGCCGCGUGAGGGAUGACGGCCUUCGGGUUGUAAACCUCUUUUAGUAGGGAAGAAGCGAAAGUGACGGUACCUGCAGAAAAAGCACCGGCUAACUACGUGCCAGCAGCCGCGGUAAUACGUAGGGUGCAAGCGUUGUCCGGAAUUAUUGGGCGUAAAGAGCUCGUAGGCGGUUUGUCGCGUCUGCUGUGAAAACUGGAGGCUCAACCUCCAGCCUGCAGUGGGUACGGGCAGACUAGAGUGCGGUAGGGGAGAUUGGAAUUCCUGGUGUAGCGGUGGAAUGCGCAGAUAUCAGGAGGAACACCGAUGGCGAAGGCAGAUCUCUGGGCCGUAACUGACGCUGAGGAGCGAAAGCAUGGGGAGCGAACAGGAUUAGAUACCCUGGUAGUCCAUGCCGUAAACGUUGGGAACUAGAUGUGGGGGCCAUUCCACGGUCUCCGUGUCGCAGCUAACGCAUUAAGUUCCCCGCCUGGGGAGUACGGCCGCAAGGCUAAAACUCAAGGAAUUGACGGGGGCCCGCACAAGCGGCGGAGCAUGCGGAUUAAUUCGAUGCAACGCGAAGAACCUUACCAAGGCUUGACAUAUACGAGAACGGGCCAGAAAUGGUCAACUCUUUGGACACUCGUAAACAGUGGUGCAUGGUUGUCGUCAGCUCGUGUCGUGAGAUGUUGGGUUAAGUCCCGCAACGAGCGCAACCCUCGUUCUAUGUUGCCAGCACGUUAUGGUGGGAACUCAUAGGAGACUGCCGGGGUCAACUCGGAGGAAGGUGGGGAUGACGUCAAAUCAUCAUGCCCCUUAUGUCUUGGGCUUCACGCAUGCUACAAUGGCCGGUACAAAGGGCUGCAAUACCGUAAGGUGGAGCGAAUCCCAAAAAGCCGGUCUCAGUUCGGAUUGAGGUCUGCAACUCGACCUCAUGAAGUCGGAGUCGCUAGUAAUCGCAGAUCAGCAACGCUGCGGUGAAUACGUUCCCGGGCCUUGUACACACCGCCCGUCAAGUCAUGAAAGUCGGUAACACCCAACGCCAGUGGCCUAAGCUU
rnacentral:rRNA from 1 species